rnacentral:misc_RNA from 1 species
GAUGAAGAACGUAGCGAAAUGCGAUAAGUAAUGUGAAUUGCAGAAUUCAGUGAAUCAUCGAAUCUUUGAACGCACAUUGCGCCCGCCAGUAUUCUGGCGGGCAUGCCUGUUCGAGCGUCAUUUCAACCAUCAAGCCCCCGGCUUGUGUUGGGGACCUGCGGCUGCCGCAGGCCCUGAAAUGCAGUGGCGGGCUCGCUGUCACUCCGAGCGUAGUAGUUACAUCUCGCUCUGGGCGUGCUGCGGGUUCCGGCCGUUAAAAGCCUUAUUUACCCAAGAUUGACCUCGGAUCAGGUAGGAAGACCCGCUGAACUUAAGCAUAUCAAUAAGCGGAGGA